rnacentral:rRNA from 1 species
AGUGAACGCUGGCGGUAGGCCUAACACAUGCAAGUCGAACGGCAGCACAGUAAGAGCUUGCUCUUACGGGUGGCGAGUGGCGGACGGGUGAGGAAUACAUCGGAAUCUACUUUUUCGUGGGGGAUAACGUAGGGAAACUUACGCUAAUACCGCAUACGACCUACGGGUGAAAGCAGGGGAUCUUCGGACCUUGCGCGAUUGAAUGAGCCGAUGUCGGAUUAGCUAGUUGGCGGGGUAAAGGCCCACCAAGGCGACGAUCCGUAGCUGGUCUGAGAGGAUGAUCAGCCACACUGGAACUGAGACACGGUCCAGACUCGUACGGGAGGCAGCAGUGGGGAAUAUUGGACAAUGGGCGCAAGCCUGAUCCAGCCAUACCGCGUGGGUGAAGAAGGCCUUCGGGUUGUAAAGCCCUUUUGUUGGGAAAGAAAAGCAGCAGGUUAAUACCCCGCUGUUCUGACGGUACCCAAAGAAUAAGCACCGGCUAACUUCGUG